UACGAAGGGGGCUAGCGUUGCUCGGAAUCACUGGGCGUAAAGCGCACGUAGGCGGGUUCUUAAGUCAGGGGUGAAAUCCUGGAGCUCAACUCCAGAACUGCCUUUGAUACUGAAGAUCUUGAGUUCGGGAGAGGUGAGUGGAACUGCGAGUGUAGAGGUGAAAUUCGUAGAUAUUCGCAAGAACACCAGUGGCGAAGGCGGCUCACUGGCCCGAUACUGACGCUGAGGUGCAAAAGCGUGGGGAGCAAACAGGGAUUAAGAA
rnacentral:rRNA from 1 species